AGCCACAACACAUUUAAACACCCGUUCCCGCACGAUCCUUGAAGUUAAGGAACGUCGAGCCUGGUCAGUACCUCGAUGGGUGACCGCUUGGGAAUGUCAGCUACUGUAAG